rnacentral:rRNA from 1 species
UACAGAGGGGGCAAGCGUUAUUCGGAAUUAUUGGGUGUAAAGGGCGCGUAGGCGGCUUUGCAAGUGACGGGUGAAAUCCCUCGGCUUAACCGAGGAACUGCCUGUCAAACUGCAUGGCUUGAGACCGGGAGAGGUGAGUGGAAUUCCCAGUGUAGCGGUGAAAUGCGUAGAUAUUGGGAGGAACACCAGUGGCGAAGGCGGUUCACUGGACCGGUACUGACGCUGAUGCGCGAAAGCCAGGGGAGCAAACGGG